AGGCAAUGAGCAAAACAUCCUCAACAAUCAUCCACGGAGCUGCAUACAGUAAACACAAAGUAAUAAGGACAUUUGGAAGUCGCAAGCUACGAAAGGAAUAAAGUGUAACAGGCGGCAUGGUGGAGCUCCAAGGGCACGUGGAGAAUGAUAGUUUUAAGCAUGUGGCAUGAUCUGCCAAUCAUCAGAGCAGAGCUGGAAACGAAGGCAAGGAUUGACUGAGGAAGACUCUUGGCUCCAGCAUAAACAGCUGAUAGAAAUGAGUAAUUAUGCCUGAGAAGAUGAAGGAAGUUACCUUCUGUGGUGCACACAGUUGUCCUGAGUCAUGGAUGAGGUGCUAAACGCAGUCUUGCCUGUCAGUCUAUGAAGUCAUGGGGCAGAUUUAAACACUGAAGAAAAGGCAACGGAUCGUAGAGACAGCUGCUGGCAUGAUGCUACCACAAAGUGAGAUUUUUCUGGAGUGAAGCAAGACAGAGAAACCUAACACAAGAUCAAAUACUUUAACUAUGCUUGGCUUGUUUUAGAGACAAACAUUUCCUGCUUCUAAAGUAAUCAUUACAACAAAAAUACCUGCUCAUUCACACAUGGAAAUAUAUGCAUGGUUGUUUACAUGUGAAGUAAAUGUGUUAAUGGAUUGUAUUACAU